AACGAACGCUGGCGGCAUGCCUAACACUUGCAAGUCGAACGAGAUCUUCGGGUCUAGUGGCGCACGGGUGCGUAACGCGUGGGAAUCUGCCCUUUGGUUCGGAAUAACAGUUGGAAACGACUGCUAAUACCGGAUGAUGACGAAAGUCCAAAGAUUUAUCGCCAGAGGAUGAGCCCGCGUAGGAUUAGCCAGUUGGUGUGGUAAAGGCGCACCAAGGCGACGAUCCUUAGCUGGUCUGAGAGGAUGAUCAGCCACACUGGGACUGAGACACGGCCCAGACUGCUACGGGAGGCAGCAGUGGGGAAUAUUGGACAAUGGGCGAAAGCCUGAUCCAGCAAUGCCGCGUGAGUGAUGAAGGCCUUAGGGUUGUAAAGCUCUUUUACCCGGGAUGAUAAUGACAGUACCGGGAGAAUAAGCUCCGGCUAACUCCGUGCCAGCCGCCGCAGUAA
rnacentral:rRNA from 1 species